rnacentral:misc_RNA from 1 species
AAUUCUCAACCCCUAACGGAUUUGCGUCUGGGAGGGGCUUGGACUUGGAGCGUGCUGGCCUUUGUUGGUCGGCUCCUCUUAAAUGCAUCAGCGGAAAGGUAUUUGCUUUCUGAGCAUCAGUGUGAUAAUAUGUUGCGCUGUUGUUGGAAUGGCAAUGUCCGCUUAGAAUGGUCUUCGGACAAACUUCAUUUGAA